AACGCAUCUUGCACCCUUUGGUAUUCCGAAGGGUAUGCCUGUUUGAGUGUCAGUUAAUUCUCAACUCUUUAUUGGUUUUUCAAUCAGUAACCAGAGAUUGGAUGUGGAGGCUUGCUGGAUGCUAACUCAGCGUUCAGCUCUUCUGAAAUGUAUUAGCGGUAACCGUACCUCGGUGUGCUUUAAGCUGUGAUAAUUAUCCUAGUUUGACACAUUGAGCAUCAGAAUAUUCGUGUUUUUGAAGAGAGUUUAACGACCCUCUUUUGAAUUCUCUAUAAACGAGAUACCUAUGCGACUCUGAUGGAGACGGAGAUCGGGUUAUUGAAGAAGUUUUUAUUAACUUUCUUUGCCUUCUCUAUAAAUGAGAUAACUAUCCGACUUCAUGAUUACUGCUUCUAACAGUCUUCUCAGUAAGACAACUAACUUGACUAUUUGGCCUCAAAUCAGGUAGGAUUACCCGCUGAACUUAA
rnacentral:misc_RNA from 1 species